AUGGCGCGGUGGCCGGCUGCCGCGGCGUGCGCACUCGGGGCGGCGCUCCUGGGCAUGCUGGCGGUCUCGGCCUCCGGGCAGUCGCCGGUGGCCGCCGCGGACGGGGAAGGCGGCAACAGCAGGUUCACGUGCACGGACACGGAGAAGAAGCGGCCCGGGUGCACGGGCACCUGCCCCGACCGGUGCCCCCGGAGCUGCGUCGCUCUCUGCCCCUCCUGCCAGACAUAUUGCCCUGACCAAGUGCAGCCGGUGCGGCCGGCGUUGUUUGUGUUCGGAGACGGGUCUCUGGACGUCGGUAACAACAACUACAUAGAGCCCAACGAGGUGGGAGACCCUUGGAGGGCCAAUCACUCUUACUACGGCAUAGACUUCCCCAAGUCCGAGCCCACCGGAAGGUUCAGCAACGGGUUCAACAUGGCUGACUUCAUCGCAAAGGCUAUGGGAUUCAAGAUGAGCCCUCCUGCUUAUAUGUCUCUUAAUAGUCCUGCAAAACUUGAUGCCGGUUUCGCUGGAGUCAACUAUGCUUCCGCGACCGCUGGGAUCUGGAGGGACAGCGAUGACGGACUGAACAUUCCAUUGAUGGACCAAGUAAAGUACUUCACGGCCAUGAUAGAGAAGAUGGAGGCCAACCGUAGCCGGCAAGAGUUGAGCAAGAUGUUGUCAAACUCCCUCUUUCUCAUCAGCGUCGGUGCUAGUGAUCUAUACUAUAUCUACAACAUCAUGACCAGAUCGGAGCCAGAUAACAAAACUGAUGUCCCACACCUCUUAUCCUCCUACGGGGACAACAUUACGGCCUUGUACAACUUGGGCGCGAGGAAGUUCGCGAUAAUCAAUGUCCCGACCUUGUGCACGCCGGUGGUGAGCCAUACCUGCGACGACCUAAUGACCAGUCUUCCCAAGGACUUCAACGACGGCAUCAAGCCACUCAUGGCCAGCCUCGCCUCCAACCUUGAUGGCCUCCGCUACUCCAUCGCUGACUUCUACGCCUUCUCAGAUGUAGUCAGCGCAAAUCCGUCGGCAUAUGGAUUUGUGAACACCGGGGCCUCAUGCUGCGAAGGCCCAUGUGCAACUAACUAUAGGCCACCAUGUGCCAACCGCAUGGAGUAUUGGUAUUGGGACCAGGAGAACCCGACGGAGCAGGCUGCUAAGCUGGCCACAACAACAUUUUUCAAUGGCACAACGCAAUUCACAGCACCGGUGAACUUCGAGACGCUGAUCAAUCAAAAGUGA
rnacentral:rRNA from 1 species